UACGUAGGGUGCAAGCGUUGUCCGGAAUUAUUGGGCGUAAAGAGCUCGUAGGCGGUCUGUCGCGUCGGCUGUGAAAACUCGGGGCUCAACUCCGAGCUUGCAGUCGAUACGGGCAGGCUAGAGUGCGGCAGGGGAGACUGGAAUUCCUGGUGUAGCGGUGAAAUGCGCAGAUAUCAGGAGGAACACCGGUGGCGAAGGCGGGUCUCUGGGCCGAUACUGACGCUGAGGAGCGAAAGCGUGGGGAGCAAACAGG
rnacentral:rRNA from 1 species